rnacentral:misc_RNA from 1 species
GUGAAUCAUCGAAUCUUUGAACGCAAAUUGCACUCUCUGGUGUUCGGGAAAGUAUGCCUGGUUCAGGGUCAGAUAAAUAAAAAUCGGUGUUGUUGCUGCUUUUCGUGGUGACGAGUUGGAAUUGAGUUGUCUUACUGUCGGUUAAGCGACUUAAAAUUUUGUAUGAGUUUCGAACGUAUUUAAAUUUCUUACGUACGUUUGAGAUUUCGAAUACUUUAUUAGGUUCGGCUAUCCCCUUG